rnacentral:rRNA from 1 species
UACGAAGGUCCCAAGCGUUGUUCGGAAUCACUGGGCGUAAAGGGCGCGUAGGCUGCUCAAUAAGUCGGGUGUGAAAACUCUGGGCUCAACCCAGAGCCUGCACUCGAAACUGUCGAGCUAGAGUUCUGGAGGGGAAAGCGGAAUUCCUGGUGUAGCGGUGAAAUGCGUAGAUAUCAGGAGGAACACCGGUGGCGAAGGCGGCUUUCUGGACAGAAACUGACGCUGAGGCGCGAAAGCUAGGGGAGCAAACAGG